AGUGAACGCUGGCGGUAGGCCUAACACAUGCAAGUCGAACGGCAGCACAGUAUGAGCUUGCUCUUACGGGUGGCGGGUGGCGGACGGGUGAGGAAUACAUCGGAAUCUACUUUUUCGUGGGGGAUAACGUAGGGAAACUUACGCUAAUACCGCAUACGACCUACGGGUGAAAGCAGGGGAACUUCGGACCUUGCGCGAUUGAAUGCGCCGAUGUCGGAUUAGCUAGUUGGCGGGGUAAAGGCCCACCAAGGCGACGAUCGGUAGCUGGUCGGAGUGGAGGAUCAGCCACACUGGAACUGAGACACGGUCCAGACUCCUACGGGAGGCAGCAGUGGGGAAUAUUGGACAAUGGGCGCAAGCCUGAUCCAGCCAUACCGCGUGGGUGAAGAAGGCGUUCGGGUUGUAAAGCCCUUUUGUUGGGAAAGAAAAGCAGCAGGUUAAUACCCCGCUGUUCUGACGGUACCCAAAGAAUAAGCACCGGCUAACUUCGUG
rnacentral:rRNA from 1 species